UAUUGCCCAAUGGAAGAAAGUCUGACGGAGUGACGCCGCGUGGCGGAUGAAGGUUUUAGGAUUGUAAACCCCGUUGGGCAGGGAAGAUGGAACGGGUAACCGUUCGGACGGUACCUGCAGAAGCAGCCCCGGCUAACUUCGUGCCAGCAGCCGCGGUAAUACGAAGGUGGCAAGCGUUGUUCGGAUUCACUGGGCGUACAGGGAGCGUAGGCGGUUGGGUAAGCCCUCCGUGAAAUCUCCGGGCCUAACCCGGAAAGUGCAGAGGGGACUGCUCGGCUAGAGGAUGGGAGAGGAGCGCGGAAUUCCCGGUGUAGCGGUAAAUGCGUAGAGAUCGGGAGGAAGGCCGGUGGCGAAGGCAGGCGCUCUGGAUAUAAUUUCUGACGCUCAGGCUCGA
rnacentral:rRNA from 1 species